AGAGAUGUGUGAUGACGCAUAUCAAUAAGCGGAGGAAAAGAAACUAACAAGGAUUCCCUUAGUAACGGCGAGUGAAGCGGGAAGAGCUCAAAUUUGAAAUCUUCAAGGUUCUACCUUGACGAAUUGUAGUUUAAAGAAGUGUUUUCUGUUAGUGGGGUGGCAAAAGUUCUUUGGAAUAGGACAUCAUAGAGGGUGAGAAUCCCGUAUUUGGUCAUUCCUCCUAGCGUUGUGAUACACUUUCAACGAGUCGGAUUGUUUGGGAAUGCAGUCCAAAAUGGGUGGUAAAUUUCAUCUAAAGCUAAAUAUUGGCGAGAGACCGAUAGCGAACAAGUACCGUGAGGGAAAGAUGAAAAGAACUUUGAAAAGAGAGUUAAACAGUACGUGAAAUUGUCAAAAGGGAAGCGUUUGACACCAGUGUUGUUUUUCCGAAAAUCAAUUACGAAUGUUUUAUUUUUGAGGAGUUAUGACUUCAUCGGCUUGCUUCUUUCUUUAUCGAAACUUUCUUAAUGCACUUUUCGGUUAACAAGUCAACAUCAAUUUCUUUUGUUGUAAAAGGGUACUGAGGAAGGUGGCUUUCUUUUCGGAGAAAGUGUUUAUAGCCUUGUACCUCUGCAAUCGGAGAGAUUGAGGUCUGCAGCGUAGAUCCUUCGGGGUUAGAUACAUUUGUGCUAAGUUAUAGCUUUGUCAUAGACAACUUGUUGACUAUGUUAAGUCAUUGUAGCUUACUCGCUUAUGCUAUUUUACCUACGCUUAGGAUGUUGAAGAUGUAGCACAUCAU
rnacentral:rRNA from 1 species